rnacentral:rRNA from 1 species
ACGGCGAGUGAAGAGGGAAAAGCCCAAAUUUGUAAUCUGGCUCUUUUAGAGUCCGAGUUGUAAUUUUAAGAACUGUUUUCCGUGCUGGACCAUGUAUAAGUCUGUUGGAAAACAGCAUCAUAGAGGGUGAUAAUCCCGUAUAUGAUAUGGACUACCAGGGCAAUGUGAUACAGCUUCUAAGAGUCGAGUUGUUUGGGAAUGCAGCUCAAAGUGGGUGGUAAAUUCCAUCUAAGGCUAAAUAUAGGUGAGAGACCGAUAGCAAACAAGUACCGUGAGGGAAAGAUGAAAAGAACUUUGGAAAGAGAGUUAACAGUACGUGAAAUUGUUAAAAGGGAAACAUUUGACGUUAGACUUGUUAUUAUUGGUUCAGCCUUUUUAAGGUGUAUUCCAUUAAUUAACAGACCAGCAUCAAUUUUGUAGUGUUGUAAAAAGGUCUUGGAAAUGUGGCAACCUUGGUUGUGUUAUAGUCUUUGACAAUACAAUGCUUGAGAUUGAGGAACGCAGUAAGC